rnacentral:tRNA from 1 species
GUCCUCGUGGUGUAGUGGUUAGCGCGACUGACUCUGAAUCAGGAGAGCUCGGGUUCGAUCCCCGACGAGGACA